GAGAGGUGGCUGAGUGGUCGAAAGCGCUCCCCUGCUAAGGGAGUAUACCCCUUAACGGGGUAUCGAGGGUUCGAAUCCCUCCCUCUCC
rnacentral:tRNA from 1 species